GAACUUUGAAGAGAGAGUUCAAGAGUACGUGAAACCGUUCAGGGGUAAACGGAAAAGAUCCGGAAUGUCGAAAGGAGAGAUUCACGUCUUUACCGGACGUCGGCCAGCUGACCGCCGGAUGGUAUCCGCUUGAAGCCCGGCCUCGGCCGCGGUCGAAGGCGGAUCCACCAGCGCGGACGGCGCGGUCCGGCGCCGGAGGACCGCACUUCUCUUCCUGUAGGACGUCGCGACCCGUUGGCUAGCGGUCUACGGGCCGGGGUGGCAGCCUCAAAUCGGCCCCUCGUCCAGGCGGGGUGCGCCGGCUUGAGACCCCCGGCGCCCGGCCGACCAGCUGACGGUAUGAAAAGAUGGUGCGCGGACCGAGCUCUGCUCGGCCCGGUCGCAAGCGUUGCGUUACUGCGGGUGGUU
rnacentral:rRNA from 1 species